rnacentral:rRNA from 1 species
UACGUAGGGGGCGAGCGUUGUCCGGAAUGAUUGGGCGUAAAGGGCGCGUAGGCGGCCUGUUAAGUCUGGAGUGAAAGUCCUGUUUUCAAGAUGGGAAUUGCUUUGGAUACUGAUGGGCUUGAGUGCAGGAGAGGUUAUCGGAAUUCCCGGUGUAGCGGUGAAAUGCGUAGAGAUCGGGAGGAACACCAGUGGCGAAGGCGGGUAACUGGACUGCAACUGACGCUGAGGCGCGAAAGUGUGGGGAGCAAAC